rnacentral:tRNA from 2 species
GCGAGUGUGGUGGAAUUGGUAGACACGCCAGACUUAGGAUCUGGUGCCGCAAGGCGUGAAGGUUCGAGUCCUUUCACUCGCA